UAAAGAUUUUAAGGGCGUACGGUGGAUGCCUUGGCGAUAUCAGCCGAAGAAGGACGCGGUAAGCUGCGAUAAGCUACGGAGAGGUGCAAGCAACCUUUGACCCGUAGAUUUCCGAAUGGGGGAACCCGGCAGUGGUUAUGCACUGUCACCCAUAGCUUAGACUAUGAGGAGGGCACCUGGGGAACUGAAACAUCUAAUUACCCAGAGGAAAAGUAAUCAAACGAGAUUUUCUUAGUAGCGGCGAGCGAACGGGAAAGAGGCCAAACCGGAGCGGGCAACCGCACCGGGGUUGAGGACAGUCAUCAAGUGUAAAUGAGGUAGAAGAAUCGAGUUGGAAAGCUCAGCCGAAGAAGGUGAAAGCCCUGUAAUCGAAACCUUGCAUACAUGGGACUGUAUCCAGAGUACCACGAGACACGUGAAACCUUGUGGGAAGCAGGGGGGACCACCCUCCAAGCCAAAAUACUGAUAUCGACCGAUAGCGCAUAGUACCGUGAGGGAAAGGUGAAAAGAACCCCUGGCGGGGAGUGAAAGAGAACCUGAAACCGUAUGUCUACAAACAGUCGAAGUCUGUAUAUAUAUCAGGACGACGGCGUGCCUAUUGAAGAAUGAACCGACGAGUUACUGUUGCUAGCGAGGUUAAGUGGAAAACACGGAGCCGCAGCGAAAGCGAGUCUGAACAGGGCGUUCAGUUAGUAAUAGUAGACCCGAAACCGUAGUGAUCUAUCCAUGGCCAGGUUGAAGCACAGGUAAAAUUGUGUGGAGGACCGAACUCGUGAGCGUUGAAAAGCUUUGGGAUGAGUUGUGGAUAGGGGUGAAAUGCCAAUCGAACACGGAGAUAGCUGGUUCUCCCCGAAAUAGCUUUAGGGCUAGCCUCGAGGUUGAGAGUAUAGGCGGUAGAGCACUGAUCGGGCUAGGGGCCAUACCGGUUACCGAACCUAGUCAAACUACGAAUGGCUAUACUUAUACUCGGGAGUCAGACAGUGAAUGAUAAGGUCCAUUGUCAAGAGGGAAACAGCCCAGAACACCGACUAAGGUCCCAAAUGUUACACUAAGUGGCGAAGGAUGUGGAAUUUCCAAAACAACCAGGAUGUUGGCUUAGAAGCAGCCACCAUUUAAAGAGUGCGUAAUAGCUCACUGGUCGAGAGACUCUGCGCCGAAAAUGUCCGGGGCUAAAGUGUAAAACCGAAGUCGUGUCAUAUGCAGCAAUGUAUAUGGGUAGGGGAGCGUUCUCAUUGGGUUGAAGCAGUACCGUAAGGAGUUGUGGACUGAUGAGAAGUGAGAAUGUCGGUAUGAGUAGCGAAAAGAAUGGUGAGAAUCCAUUCCACCGAAAGCCUAAGGGUUCCUGAGCAACGAUCGUCGUCUCAGGGUAAGUCGGGACCUAAGCCGAGGCGGAAAAGCGUAGGCGAUGGACAACAGGUUGAAAUUCCUGUACCGGUGUGAAUCGUUUGAUCGAUGGAGUGACACAGUAAGGUAGGUCAGCACGCGAUUGGAAGUGCGUGUUUAAGCAGGUAGGUUGAGCUAUAGGCAAAUCCGUAGCUCUAAAAGCUGAGAUGUGAUGACGAGUUACUAGCGAUAGUAACGAAGUGAUUGAUUCUACACUGUCGAGAAAAGCUUCUAGGUAGAGACACAUCGCCCGUACCAAAACCGACACAGGUAGGCGGGGAGAGAAUCCUAAGGUGCGCGGGAAAACCCUCGUUAAGGAACUCGGCAAAAUGCCUCCGUAACUUCGGGAAAAGGAGGACUCAUGUAGUGUGAAGUGCAGCAACGCAUGGAGCAUGAAUGAGUGGCACAAGAGAGGCGCAAGCGACUGUUUACCACAAACACAGGUGCCUGCUAAAGCGAAAGCUGAUGUAUAGGUGCUGACACCUGCCCGGUGCUGGAAGGUUAAGAGGAGGGGUUAGACUUCGGUCGAAGCUCUGAAUUGAAGCCCCAGUAAACGGCGGCCGUAACUAUAACGGUCCUAAGGUAGCGAAAUUCCUUGUCGGGUAAGUUCC
rnacentral:rRNA from 1 species